rnacentral:lncRNA from 1 species
GUGGUGGACCUGGCUUUUUUGGAGGUGGUGGAACUGGUUAUUUUGGAGGUGGUAUAACUGGUUAUUUUCGAGAUGGUGGAGCUGGUUAUUUUGGAAGUAGUGGAACUGGUUAUUUUGGAGGUGGUGGAACUGGUUAUUUUGGAGGUGGUGGAACUGGUUAUUUUGGCGGUGGUGGAACUUUUUAUUUUGGAGGUGGUUGAACUGGUUAUUUUGGAGGUGAUGGAACUGGUUGUUUUGGCACUGGUUAUUUUGGCGGUGGUGGAAUUGGUUAUUUUGGAGGUGAUGGAACUGGUUGUUUUGGCACUGGUUAUUUUGGCGGUGGUGGAAUUGGUUAUUUUGGAGGUGGUGUAACUGUUUUUUUUGGCGGUGGUGGAACUGGUUAUUUUGGAUUUGGUGGAAC